rnacentral:lncRNA from 1 species
GGACAUGUGGGUACAGCCUGUCUCUUAUCAUCCACCAUUAUAGAGAGUGGGAAGAGUGCUGGAAUUCUUACUCUUCCCAUCAUGAGCACAAAUUCCAGGAAGACAAUAGGCAAAGUGAGAGUUGACUUUAUCAUUAUUAAGCCAUUACCAGGAUACAACUGUGACAUGAAAUCUUCAUUUUCCAAGUAUUAGAAGCCAAGAAUACCACGGGAUGUUGGACACAGAGAUUCAGGGAAUUCAAAAACAACUUCCCAGCUGGCUAAAGUUCAAGAAAAUACUAUUGCUUCUUUAUGAAAUGCUGCUAGUCAUGGUGCAACCUUUGUAGAAUUUAAUGUUUGUCUUUCAAAAGACGUUGUGCCUGUGGUAUAUCGUGAUCCACCUAUUGUUUGACCAUGAAGAAGAGGUUUGAUGCUGAUCCAGUUGAAUUAUCUGAAAUCCCAAUAAAGGAACUAACAUUUGACCAACUCCAGUUGUUAAAGCUCGCCCAUGUGACUGCAUUAAAAUCUAAAGAUCAACAAGAAUCUGUGAUUGAGGAAGAAAAUUCCUUUUCUGAAAAUCAGCUAUUUCCUUCUCUUAAGAUGGUUUUAGAAUCUUUCCCGGAAGAUGUAGGGUUUAACAUAGAAAUAAAAUGGAUCUGCCAACAAAGGGAUGGAAUGUGGGAUGCUAACUUAUCAACAUAUUUUGACAUGAAUAUGUUUUUGGAUAUAAUUUUAAAAACUGUUUUAGAAAACUUUGGAAAGAGGAGAAUAGUCUUUUCUUCAUUUGAUGCAGAUAUUUGUACAAUGGUUCAACAGAAGCAGAACAAAUAUCCCAUAUUAUUUUUGACUCAAGGAAAAUCUGACAUUUACCCCAAACUUAUGGAUCUCAGAUCUCGGAUGAUCCUCAUCUCAAUGAGCUUUGCACAGUUUGAAAAUCUUCUGGGGAUUAAGGCACAUACUGAAGACCUGCUCAGAAAUCCGUCCUAUAUCCAAGAGGCAAAAGCUAAGGGACUAGUCAUAUUCUGCUGCGGCGAUGAUACCAAUGAAAACAGAAGGAAAUUGAAG